rnacentral:rRNA from 1 species
ACGAACGCUGGCGGCGUGCUUAACACAUGCAAGUCAAGGGGGCUCAGCAAUGGGCAACCGGCGAACGGGUGCGUAACACGUGAGCAAGCUUCCGAUUUGUGGGGGAUAGCCGGCCCAACGGCCGGGUAAUACCGCAUACGUUCACUGGACGGCAUCGUCUGGUGAGGAAACCUCCGGGGCAAAUCGAGGCGCUCGCGGCCUAUCAGCUAGUUGGCGGGGUAACGGCCCACCAAGGCGACGACGGGUAGCUGGUCUGAGAGGAUGGCCAGCCACAUUGGGACUGCGACACGGCCCAGACUCCUACGGGAGGCAGCAGUGGGGAAUAUUGCGCAAUGGACGAAAGUCUGACGCAGCGACGCCGCGUGUGGGAUGAAGCCUUUCGGGGUGUAAACCACUGUUGCCCGGGACGAACAUCCGCUUUCGAGCGGACUGACGGUACCGGGUGAGGAAGCACCGGCUAACUCUGU